CCAUAUGCCAUGGGGCAGCCAAAAAAGAAAAAGAAAAAGAAAGAUACAUAUAUAUUUAAAGUCAUGAUACUAAAUGAGGUCACCAAGGGAGUGUAAAUGCAAGCACAGAAGGAGAUAGUUAUCAAAGAGGGAUUUCAGGUGAAGAGAAGAAUUUCAUUUUUGGUUUGCUUCAUGAUUACUAUGAUCCAGUAGAGAGGGAAGAAAAUUAUGAUAAUAUAGUGACAAUUGCUGGAAUAAUAUCAGAGUGGGAUUCAGUUCUCAAGAAGUCUUGGAUUAUAUAGGAACAAGAUAUUUUAGUUGUUAUAUCAAAGCUAACAUAUUUAGUGUCCUUUUAAAUUUUAGCCAUUGUGGUGGUGUAUAGUGAGUGGUAUCUAAUUUGGCUUUCAGUUUGCCUUUCUCCAAAAUUUAUGAGGUUGAACACUUUUUCAUAUGUUCAUUGUCCAUUUGUUUUUUCUUUUCUCUAGUAAAUUCAUUCAUAAAACUUGAAGGCAAGUAAGAGGGAAAAUCAGAAUAUCAGAGUCUGUAGGACAAUAUUGGAGGAUCUGACGUGUGCAAUUGAAGUUCCAGAGGAGAGGUCACUUGGAAAAUAUUUUAAAAAUUCUGCAGUCUGCUGAUCUGAAUCGGUUUUGCCUACAAAUUUAUCAUUUUUCUCACCAUGUCACCAUUUGAAAUGUGAGAUAGCCAGCACCAGCAGAGAAGGAGAAUCCUCUGAUGUCUUCCUGUGUCUUCCUGCCACAAGUAGCAUUCUCCCUGGCUGAAUUACAUGUUUUUUCUAGCACAUGAGAGCAAGGUAACUAUGUCUUUUUUUAAAAAUUGCUCCUUUCAUGGGGUAAACAUUACUUAUUUGGUAUAGUAGAUGCUAAAAAUAGAUCCCCCAUUUUGCUUACCAUGACAUCCUGUUCAUUGCAAAUUAGUGAUGCUGGGAUGAAUGAACAAUUUCAGGGCCUCUACACUGUGAUUUAUACAGGCACUUGGGUGACACGGUAGAGAAGGGGUAGAACUGCAGUGUAGUCAGGUGCAUAUUUCACAGUCAGAGGGAAGCUGGUGUACUUGAUACUAGCCCUGUUAUAUCACUCACUGGGUUGUUUUAGAAAGUCAAACUCAUUGUUGUUCCUCAUUAGUAAAAGAAAGGACAUUAGUACAGAAAGGACAUUAAUUAAGGUAUAUUAAGUCAGAGCUAGGAAGAAAACUGGACUAUAUCAAAUAAGAUGUAUUUAAGGCAAGCAUUUCAUAAGAUUCAGUUUAUAAUUGGGAUGAUCAAAGAUUGAAAUCUCAGACACCUAAAAUGUGAACCACAUGGAAUUAAAACUUUAUAGCUAUUUCUUACUGUAAUGCUCUUUGUGACACAUGCUUAAGGUUUAUAUAGCAAUGUCAAAAAGAACUUCUUUAAAUUAUUAACAACAAAAAGUAAAUACUAAUGAAAGGCCAAAUCAGAUUCUCAUGAAUUAUAUUCAGGAGAAACACAAUGAUGAUGUUGUAAUGUGUGCAAGUGACUUAAAUAAAUAAAAAUACUCAGACCUUUAUUCCUUCUGAGGUAGAAUAAAUCUUUUUUAUUUUCUCCUACAGGCUACAAUCUCUUUAAUAGAUGGUCUGUUUCAAUAUAUUAAUCUCAAUAAUUAACACUGUAUAUUGUUCCUAGAAGGUGCCUAUAAAUGUCUGUUGGAUGAAUUAAUUAAAUUAGGAAAUUAGGACACUUCUAAGAGAUUUUAUUUGUAUAAAUCUCUCUUUAAAAGGGUUUCUAACCAUAGUGUAAGAGAAGGAUGAUAUCUAGCACAGAUUUCCUCAAAAGUGGAGGAAGAUGAGGGCUAUUCUUCGUCCACCACCCAAUAACCAGUUAAGUUUUGUUAAUCACUCUCAUUUGUGAUAAUCACCUAAACUACCUUAUAUCAUUUUUUUUUUUUUUUUGGGAAAUCCCUUGUAUAUCUUCUAUUAGGUUUUGACUCCCUCUAGGAAAGAAAAUAUGCCGCUCUAAUUGUAAGCCCCAAGUGAAUUGUAUUGUAUAAUUCUAGGGCUUAAAUGAAUUGUAUUAUUUACAGCAACUUUUGAAUCAAAGAAGAAUUAAAGAAUCUGGUUUAUUUACCACUUAAUCUUGUUUUAUUCUGUAUAUUGGGGACAAAAUGACUAAGAGAGAAGUACUACAGAAAAUAUUAUUUAAUUUUCACCUGCAGUUGAUAAAAGGAGAUCUCACAGGCUGGAUAAAUGCCAUUAAAUAUAAGCAUUAUGGAGAGGAGAUUUAGCAGGGAACUCUGGAGGCAGUCAGCACUACUCACAUCCUGGUACCCACACCAGUGUGAUUAUAAACAAGUGAUUUCCUUAUUCCCUUCUCAGUUUUUUCAGAUA